rnacentral:rRNA from 1 species
AGAACGAACGCUGGCGGCAGGCUUAACACAUGCAAGUCGAACGCUCCUAGCAAUAGGGGAGUGGCAGACGGGUGAGUAACGCGUGGGAACAUACCCUCCGGUUCGGAAUAACUCAGGGAAACUUGAGCUAAUACCGGAUACGGCCUUUAGUCGAAGGAUUGGCGGCGAAAGAUUUAUCGCCGGAGGAUUGGCCCGCGUCCGAUUAGCUAGUUGGUGUGGUAAUGGCGCACCAAGGCGACGAUCGGUAGCUGGUCUGAGAGGAUGAUCAGCCACAUUGGGACUGAGACACGGCCCAAACUCCUACGGGAGGCAGCAGUGGGGAAUAUUGGACAAUGGGCGCAAGCCUGAUCCAGCCAUGCCGCGUGAGUGAUGACGGCCUUAGGGUUGUAAAGCUCUUUCGCUCGGGACGAUAAUGACGGUACCGAGAUAAGAAGCCCGGCUAACUUCGCGCCAGCAGCCGC